AGAAGAAUCCUUUGUUUGAUGAAAUUGGUUUUCAAUAAAUGCUCAUCAUAAGCUAGUGUCUGGGUAGUGAAAUAAAUGCUGGAAUUCCUAAAGAGAGUGCAUUUUUGACUUCUUGUGCUAACACCAGAACACCAAGAAUGGGUCCACUGAGCAGCUGUGACAGUGUAGAAGCCUUGAUAGCGUUGCUGCAGCAAUGACCUUCCACAGCACUUAACAACACUGAUGACUCCGACUGCUGAUAAGACAAACUAUUCAGAAGCCUUCUUCAGGUGAAACACCCAGUGAUUUUUUGCAACGUUCAUUCCUACCACCUUUGCAGAUGGUGCAGCAGCUUUAACAGCAUCCUAGGACACUACGGCUCCUGAGCCCAGC